rnacentral:ncRNA from 2 species
GAACAACAUUAGGGGUGCCAUAUAUAGUUCGUAGACUACGAUAUUUGGCUGAGAGGAUGAUCCAACCCUUUGAACCUGAUCUCAUUAAUCUGAGCGGAGGAAAAUGUGUCUAUUGUCAU